rnacentral:lncRNA from 1 species
CCGCCGCCGCCGCCGCUGAGGCCGCCGCGUCCCAUCCCGGCAACCACUGCAACGAGCGCUUAGCCGCCGCCAGCGCUGCCGCCGCCGCCGCCGCCGCCGUUGACGACGGGUUGCCAAAUGGGGCUAAUGGCCCUGACGGUGGCUGCAACGGAACCAACUGCUCCCUGUGCCGCCAAAUUAAGGUGGUUGGCGGCGGGGUGGUUAGUUGGUUUACUUUUCCCCUUCG